rnacentral:misc_RNA from 1 species
UCUCCGUUGGUGAACCAGCGGAGGGAUCAUUACCGAGUUUACAACUCCCAAACCCCUAUGUGAACGUUACCAAACUGUUGCCUCGGCGGGAAAUUCAUGCCCCGGGCGCGUCGCAGCCCCGGACCAAGGCGCCCGCCGGAGGACCAACCAAAACUCUUUUGUAUGUCCCUCGCGGACUUUUAUAAUUCUGAACCAUCUCGGCGCCCCUAGCGGGCGUUUCGAAAAUGAAUCAAAACUUUCAACAACGGAUCUCUUGGUUCUC